AGACCCCGGUACAUUCUCAAUGUACAUCGAUAGAUUUGCAACUCAACAUGAACUUCACUACAAGGU
rnacentral:tRNA from 1 species